CCUACGGGCGGCAGCAGUGAGGAAUAUUGGUCAAUGGGCGCGAGCCUGAACCAGCCAAGUCGCGUGAGGGAAGACGGUCCUAUGGAUUGUAAACCUCUUUUGUCGGGGAGCAAAAGCCGCCACGCGUGGCGUUCCGAGAGUACCUGAAGAAAAAGCAUCGGCUAACUCCGUGCCAGCAGCCGCGGUAAUACGGAGGAUGCGAGCGUUAUCCGGAUUUAUUGGGUUUAAAGGGUGCGCAGGCGGACGAUCAAGUCAGCGGUAAAAUCGAGAGGCUCAACCCCGUCGAGCCGUUGAAACUGGUUGUCUUGAGUGAGAGAGAAGUAUGCGGAAUGCGUGGUGUAGCGGUGAAAUGCAUAGAUAUCACGCAGAACUCCGAUUGCGAAGGCAGCAUACCGGCGCUCAACUGACGCUCAGGCACGAAAGUGUGGGUAUCGAACAGGAUUAGAUACCCCUGUAGUC
rnacentral:rRNA from 1 species